rnacentral:rRNA from 1 species
UACGGGGGGGAGCUAGCGUUGUUCGGAUUUACUGGGCGUAAAGGGCGCGUAGGCGGUCAGCACAAGUCAGUUGUGAAAUCUCCGGGCUUAACUCGGAAAGGUCAACUGAUACUGUGCGACUAGAGUGCAGAAGGGGCAACUGGAAUUCUCGGUGUAGCGGUGAAAUGCGUAGAUAUCGAGAGGAACACCUGCGGCGAAGGCGGGUUGCUGGGCUGACACUGACGCUGAUGCGCGAAAGCCAGGGGAGCGAACGGG